rnacentral:rRNA from 1 species
CUACGUGCCAGCAGCCGCGGUAAUACGGAAGGUCCCGGCGUUAUCCGGAUUUAUUGGGUUUAAAGGGAGCGUAGGCCGUGGAUUAAGCGUGUUGUGAAAUGUAGACGCUCAACGUCUGACUUGCAGCGCGAACUGGUUCACUUGAGUGUGCGCAACGCAGGCGGAAUUCGUGGUGUAGCGGUGAAAUGCUUAGAUAUCACGAAGAACUCCGAUUGCGAAGGCAGCUUGCGGGAGCACAACUGACGCUGAAGCUCGAAAGUGCGGGUAUCAAACAGGAUUAGAUACCCUGGUAGUCCGCACGGUAAACGAUGGAUGCCCGUUCUCCGGCUUUUUUUUGCCGGGGGACCGAGCGAAAGCAUUGAGCAUCCCACCUGGGGAGUACGCCGGCAACGGUGAAACUCAAAGGAAUUGACAGGGGCCCGCACAAGCGGAGGAACAUGUGGUUUAAUUCGAUGAUACGCGAGGAACCUUACCCGGGCUUGAAUUGCAGACGUACGAUUCAGAGA